rnacentral:rRNA from 1 species
GAUGAACGCUAGCGGCAGGCCUAACACAUGCAAGUCGAGGGGCAGCACAUAAAGUGGUUUACUACUUUUGGUGGCGACCGGCGGACGGGUGCGUAACGCGUAUGCAACCUGCCUCCAACAGGGGGAUAACGGAGAGAAAUUUCCACUAAUACCCCAUAAUAUCAGAAUCGGCAUCGGUUUUGGUUGAAAACUCCGGUGGUGGGAGAUGGGCAUGCGUUGUAUUAGAUAGUUGGUGAGGUAACGGCUCACCAAGUCAACGAUACAUAGGGGGACUGAGAGGUUGACCCCCCACACUGGGACUGAGACACGGACCAGACUCGUACGAGAGGCAGCGGUGAGGAAUAUUGGUCAAUGGGCGCAAGUCUGAACCAGCCAUGCCGCGUGCAGGAAGACGGCUCUAUGAGUUGUAAACUGCUUUUGUACGAGGGUAAACCCAGGGACGUGUCCUUGGUUGAAAGUACCGUACGAAUAAGGAUCGGCUAACUCCGUGCCAGCCGCCGCAGUAA